rnacentral:tRNA from 1 species
GGGCGUAUAGCUCAGCGGUAGAGCACUGGUCUUACAAACCAGCGGUCACAGGUUCGAUCCCUGUUGCGCCCACCA